rnacentral:rRNA from 1 species
ACCUACGGGGGGCAGCAGUAGGGAAUCUUCCACAAUGGGCGAAAGCCUGAUGGAGCAACGCCGCGUGGGUGAAGAAGGUCUUCGGAUCGUAAAACCCUGUUGUUAGAGAAGAAAGUGCGUGAGAGUAACUGUUCACGUUUCGACGGUAUCUAACCAGAAAGCCACGGCUAACUACGUGCCAGCAGCCGCGGUAAUACGUAGGUGGCAAGCGUUAUCCGGAUUUAUUGGGCGUAAAGGGAAAGCAGGAGGUCUUUUAAGUCUGAUGUGGACGCCUUUGGCUUAACCGGAGUAGUGCUUUGGAAACU